rnacentral:lncRNA from 1 species
CUCUCUCUCUCUCUCUCUCUCGGCCGCCUGCAAAAACCCAGGCCAGUACUGCCUUCACUUUUUAGUGACUGCAGAGGAAAGAAGCUCUAGAAAGUGUUUCACGUUACAGUGACUAGCAGUGGGAGACACUGAUGUGAUCGCUGCUCCUCAGAUUGUUGGGACCUGGCAUUCACUCAUGCGGUGCCUCCUCUGUCCCUGAGAAUCGCCGCACUUGAAGGUGCAGGAUGUUUGGGGACUGAGCCCUCCACCCCCACCUCAGGCAGGGACUUUUUGUUAUAAACUCCUGUUGAGGCAAUUUUCUGGGGCUCACACCAGGGAGGUUUAGGCUGGUUAGAAGGGGGCAUUAGAACAGGUUAACUUGGGGUCCCUGGGUGGCUCAGUCGGUUGGGC